GCCCCCGUAGCUCAAUGGACAGAGCGCCAGACUUCUAAUCUGACGGUUGUGGGUUCGAGUCCCACCGGGGGUG
rnacentral:tRNA from 1 species